UACGAAGGGGGCUAGCGUUGUUCGGAAUUACUGGGCGUAAAGCGCGCGUAGGCGGUGAUCUUUGUCAGAGGUGAAAUCCCGAGGCUCAACUUCGGAAUUGCCUUUGAAACGGGAUUGCUUGAGUCCGAGAGAGGAUGGCGGAAUUCCUAGUGUAGAGGUGAAAUUCGUAGAUAUUAGGAAGAACACCGGUGGCGAAGGCGGCCAUCUGGCUCGGUACUGACGCUCAGGCGCGAAAGCGUGGGGAGCAAACAGGG
rnacentral:rRNA from 1 species